GUUUAAUAAUACAAUUAAAAUUAUUGUUUAGAUGUAUUUUAUGGAGGAGAAGCUUUGACAGCGGAGCAGCCUCAGUCUUAUACAUGCCCUCAUUGUUCUCGGAUGGGCUUUUCAGAAUCAAGCCUUCAUGAACAUGUUUCAGCGGAUCAUUCUGAUGCUUCUGCUGAAGUGGUGUGUCCUAUUUGUGCUUCUCUACCUGGAGGUGAUCCUAAUCAUGUGACUGAUGACUUUGCAUCUCAUUUG
rnacentral:sRNA from 1 species